rnacentral:rRNA from 1 species
GGCGAGUGGCGGACGGGUGAGUAAUGCGUAGGAAUCUGUCCUGGAGAGUGGGAUAACCCGAGGAAACUCGGGCUAAUACUGCAUGACAUUGAGAGAUCAAAAGCAGGGGACCGAAAGGCCUUGCGCUCUGGGGUGAGUCUACGUCGGAUUAGCUAGUUGGUGGGGUAAAGGCCUACCAAGGCGACGAUCCGUAGCUGGUCUGAGAGGAUGACCAGCCACACUGGGACUGAGACACGGCCCAG